AGGGACUAGUCUUUAUUUCAUUUUUGCACCUCAACUUUUGUAACUAUGCAUCUUCUUGAUGCUUUUGUUAAUAUAACAUCUUACUUCAUCAAAAAAAAAAGCAUCAACUUUUCAUUACUGUUCUAAAAUCAGUUUUUUACAUAAUCUAAUAGUAGUGAAAUAUUGGAAACCAAAAAAAAAAAAAUCAAAAUUUCACCAUUGAAUUACGAUAUUCACCCUAAGAAACAGUAAGUCAAACUUGAGCAGUGUCUACCGGCAGCAUAAAGGUGCAAAAUAUAGCAAAAAUUCAGUUCCGUAAGAUCUAAAUCAUAAUAAAUAAAUUUCUCCCUAAAAACGCAAAAAGAAAGAUAAAGAAUCAAUGCGAAUAUACGGAAAGAAAUUGGAAAUCGAACCUUGUCAAUGUUUAGCGAUACAGUAGGGUGACCGAGAUCUAUCGUUUCAGAAAGUGAUUGUCAUAAAGACGAUACAGUAGGGUGACCGAGAUCUAUUGUUUCAGAAAGUGAUUGGCAUAAAGAUUGAGAGCACCUGAGACUGAAGGGCAAAAAAUAACGAAUAGCGAGAGAGAGAGAGAGAGGCAGAGAGCACCCAGC
rnacentral:lncRNA from 1 species